GACAUAGUAAUAUCAUAGGUGAGCCCUUGCUCGAUAUGACCAAAUUUAUAUGAGUAUUGGGUGAAAAUUGGGUUUGAACUUAGCCAUAUCGAGAUACAUGUACUUUCGUGUUUUUGUUUUUUUUUUGUUUUUUUUUUUUUUAAGUUUUGUACCGACGUCACACGUUCAUUCCAUCUGUACGGCACCACCAUUAUACACAGAGCAUGUGCAAAUCCACCUUUGUAUCGACAUCAUGCACAGAGUGUGUGCAAGUCCACCUUUGUAUCGACAGCAUGCACAGAGCAUGUGCAAGUCCACCUUUGUAUCGACAUCAUGCAGAGCAUGUGCAAGUCCCGCUUUGCUCUGAUAGCAGCGGCCAAACUGAAUGUAUUGGUCAAAUCUCGCGGGACUCACUUAUGAUAUAGUAAUAUCAUAGGUGAGCCCUUGCUCGAUAUGACCAAAUUUAUAUGAGUAUUGGGUGAAAAUUGGGUUACACAGCAGACCUCAAUACUAUAAGCUAGUAUAACGACAACACACUUAUAAUUCCCAAUUCUAACCUUUAACAUUCCCAAUACUCACCCAAAACUUAAAAAUUGUCUUGUAUAAAUGAAGAAGUCAAAAUUCUUAAACAAAUGGGAGUUUUGAGUCCAUGACAAAACUUGAAAUAUCGCCAUCUAAGCAAACAUCAAAAAGUUAAGAAAUUUCAAAUGAAUACAUCCCAUGCAGAAAACUGAUAAAAGCAAAUUAUGCCAACUGCUAACUAUUCCGUGUACUUCUUGUGUUGUUUCUGAGACUUUCACGUGCAUGCUCCAUAUCAUGAAUUUUAACAAACGUAUGCAACCUAUGACUUAAAUUAAAGUGUUAAUAUUUUCAGUUGAACUGCUCUUAUGUUUGUAGACACCCAGAGCGAACUAUCUGUUAUGCAGUAGUUUUUGCAUACUUCAAGAACGAUCAAGUGGUGCAUGAGCUCUAGAUGGUUUUUAUGUAUUACAUCGGGUGACUAAGAAAUGUUUGGUGUCUUUGCCCUUUAUCCCUUAUUUCCCAUAAUCAGGGAAAUACUCUUGAAUAUUCAAUACAUCCACUACAUGUAUGAAAUAAAAAGAAUGUGUAGAGAAUGACAUGUGUAAUAUG
rnacentral:lncRNA from 1 species